UCCAGACUCCUACGGGAGGCAGCAGUGGGGAAUAUUGCACAAUGGGGGAAACCCUGAUGCAGCAACGCCGCGUGAGUGAAGAAGUAUUUCGAUAUGUAAAGCUCUAUCAGCAGGGAAGAAGAUGACGGUACCUGAUUAAGAAGCCCCGGCUAACUACGUGCCAGCAGCCGCGGUAAUACGUAGGGGGCAAGCGUUAUCCGGAUUUACUGGGUGUAAAGGGAGCGUAGACGGCAUAGCAAGUCUGAAGUGAAAGCCCAAGGCUCAACCAUGGGACUGCUUUGGAAACUGUUAAGCUAGAGUGCUGGAGAGGUAAGCGGAAUUCCUAGUGUAGCGGUGAAAUGCGUAGAUAUUAGGAAGAACACCAGUGCCGAAGGCGGCUUACUGGACAGUAACUGACGUUGAGGCUCGAAAGCGUGGGGAGCAAACAGGAUU
rnacentral:rRNA from 1 species